AAUUCUGAAACACAUCAUUCUGUCAUCAGAUGGAUGACUUUGCUGCUGAUACUGGAGUCCAAGGGCUCUACUCAUUCUAGGUGAGAAUCUCAUAUAACCAUUAAAAAAUAGUUGUCAUUUGGAUGACAGUGUGCUGCACUUAGCAGCAACCUAAGAUUUCUUAUUUUUUUGCUCAAAGAAUAAAUCUGUUAAAAGCUCCUUUGUUGAAUUGGGAUCUAUGAGCCUUUUAAUAGGAUUUUUGAAAGGGAGUGGAAAAUUUACAGCUCCUGGUAAAUAGCCUGACAUGAAGUUAAGAUUAAUAGUAUUUUCUUCAGCCACACCAUCAAAGUUGAACCUACGGGCAGGAGUCUUUCUCAUUCUCAUCAAACAGUGCUAGGAACCAAAAAUUCUCUUUCUCAGGUGUAGUAUUCUCUUAAUCAGUGGUGAUAUAACACAGUUCUAUGGACCAUCCAGGUAUUUAAUAAGUAUUACAAUGAUUUGAUAUGUUCUUUGAUCCUUGAUAGAAUGGUUGGUCCCCUAACCUGGUCCUUUAUCCAGUGGCUCUGAUCUCAGGGAGAAGCAUCACUCCAUCCCAUUUGUGCAAGUCACAAUCCUGGCAGUUGUCCUGGACUCCUCUCUUUUUCCUCAUCCUUGUCCAUACUAGAUGCAGCACUGGGUCCUAAUGAUUUUACUUCUUAAAUGUUUCUUGAAACCAUCCACUUCUCUGCAUGGCCACCACUCUAUCCCAAGCCCUUAUCAUAUGUGCUUAGACCACUGCAGAAGCCACCUCCCCACAGCCAGUGUGAUCUUUCAGACACAUCUAUGAGACCUCCAGUGAUCUGCCGCUGGUGUUAGGAUAACGACCAAAGGCAGUUUCAUGGACGGUAAGUCCCUGCAUUGUCUGGUCCCCGUCUCUCUCUCCAGUCUCAUCUGGAGACAUUCUCCUCCCUGUUCCACGUGUUCCAGCCUCCUGGCCUUCACUGCAUGACGCAGGGUCUUAGUGCCUGUAAUUUCCUCUCCCUGAGAGUCUCUCCCCUGCUUUUUCUAAUUAUCUUCUCUUCAUCCUUUAUACAUCAGCUCAGCAUGAUGUCCUCAUGACUGCCUUUCCUGAUCUCCUGGCUAGAUAAGUCUCCUUUCUUCUCUGCUGUGUAGACCCACGCUCCACUCCUUCUUUAUGCUUUCAUAGACAUCAUAGACACUUGGCUUUGUUGUUUUUUGAUCGGUAUAUGUGUCCACUACAGAAUAUAAACGCUGUGAGCAGGGACCCUGCCCACAUAUGCUCAUUGUCACAUCCCCAGCACUCAGCACAGUGCUUGGAAAGCGUAGCUGCUCAAAACAUUUGUUGAAUGACUAAGUGGCUAUUUUUUAUUGAACGUUUAGGUAGAGGAAGAAGACCCCACUGGAUACAUUUGAUUGAAAAAUUUCUCCCAGUGAUGACCGAAGUACUGCUGGAAAGAAGUCUUAGAUCCAGCUAAACAUGGUCCUUUCUAAGGAAGAACUGAUCAAGAUAUGACUGAAGAAGGUGAGCCUUUUUCUCAGGCGGAAAUGGAAGAAAUGUUGUCUGCUGCAGUUGAUCCAGAAUCGAAUUCAGUUGAUUACAAGGACUACGUAACAAUGAUGGUGGCAGAUGAGACUUAAACACUUUAAAGACUUAAUUUCCAAUUGAAAGGAUAAUUUAAAAAAUUGUCCUUGUUAAUUUCACAUUUUAUCUUAUCAUUUCUACAUAUGAUAACUAAUGCUUUGU